UACGUAGGUCCCGAGCGUUGUCCGGAUUUAUUGGGCGUGAAGCGAGCGCAGGUGGUUUAUUAAGUCUGGUGUAAAAGGCAGUGGCUCAACCAUUGUAUGCAUUGGAAACUGGUAGACUUGAGUGCAGGAGAGGAGAGUGGAAUUCCAUGUGUAGCGGUGAAAUGCGUAGAUAUAAGGAAGAACACCAGUGGCGAAGGCGGAUGACUGGACGGCAACUGACGGUGAGGCGCGAAAGCGUGGGGAGCAAACAGG
rnacentral:rRNA from 1 species